rnacentral:rRNA from 1 species
AGGGAAUCUUACACAAUGGACGAAAGUCUGAUGGAGCAACGCCGCGUGAGUGAUGAAGGUUUGCGGAUCGUAAAACUCUGGUGUAAGGGAAGAACCAGUACGUCAGGCAAUGGAAGUACAUUGACGGUACCUAAUUAGAAAGCCACGGCUAACUACCGCACAGCAUCCGCGGUAAUACGCAGGUGGCAAGCGUUGUCCGGAAUAUUGGGCGUAAAGCGCGCGCAGGUGGUUUCUUAAGUCUGAUGUGAAAGCCCACGGCUUAACCGUGGAGGGUCAUUGGAAACUGGGAGACUUGAGUGCAGAAGAGGAAAGUGGAAUUCCAAGUGUAGCGGUGAAAUGCGUAGAGAUUUGGAGGAACACCAGUGGCGAAGGCGACUUUCUGGUCUGCAACUGACGCUGAGGCGCGAAAGCAUGGGGAGCAAACA